UUUCCCUCGGGGCGCAGCAGUGGGGAAUAUUGGGCAAUGGAGGCAACUCUGACCCAGCAACGCCGCGCGAGUGAUGAAGGUCUUCGGAUUGUAAAACUCUUUAAGUGGGGACGAAGAAAGUGACUGUACCCACAGAAUAAGCCUCGGCUAACUACGUGCCAGCAGCCGCGGCAAUACGUAGGAGGCAAGCGUUAUCCGGAAUGACUGGGCGUAAAGGGUGCGUAGGGGGUUUGGCAAGUUAGUAGCGUAAUUCCGG
rnacentral:rRNA from 1 species